CGGCGGACGGGUGAGUAACGCGUGGGUAACCUGCCCUGUACACACGGAUAACAUACCGAAAGGUAUGCUAAUACGGGAUAACAUAAGAAAUUCGCAUGUUUUUCUUAUCAAAGCUCCGGCGGUACAGGAUGGACCCGCGUCUGAUUAGCUAGUUGGUGAGGUAACGGCUCACCAAGGCGACGAUCAGUAGCCGACCUGAGAGGGUGAUCGGCCACAUUGGAACUGAGACACGGUCCAAACUCCUACGGGAGGCAGCAUG
rnacentral:rRNA from 1 species